CGCACGGCUCAGUAACACGUGGCUAACCUACCCUUGAGACGGAGACAUCCCCGGGAAACUGGGGCUAAUCCCAGAUAGACGAGAACUCCUGGAAUGGGUUCUCGUCCAAAAGGCAUCGAGAUCAUGCUUCUUGGUGUCGCUCAAGGAUGGGGCCGCGGCCGAUCAGGCUGUUGGUGAGGUAACGGCUCACCAAACCUAUAACCGGUACGGGCCGUGGGAGCGGGAGCCCGGAGAUGGGAACUGAGACAAGGUCCCAGGCCCUACGGGGCGCAGCAGUUGCGAAAACUCCGCAAUGCACGAAAGUGUGACGGGGCUACCCCGAGUGCUGUCCGCUGAGGAUGGCUUUUCCCUGGUGUAAGGAGCCGGGGGAAUAAGGAGAGGGCAAGUCUGGUGUCAGCCGCCGCGGUAAUACCAGCUCUCCGAGUGGUAGGGAUGCUUAUUGGGCUUAAAGCGUCCGUAGCUGGCCCUUCAAGUCUCUCGUUAAAUCCAGCGAUUCAAUCGUUGGACUGCGGGAGAUACUGUUAGGCUUGGGGGCGGGAGAAGCCGACGGUAUUUCCGGUGUAGGGGUAAAAUCCUAUAAUCCCGGGAGGACCACCAGUGGCGUAGGCGGUCGGCUAGCACGCGCCCGACGGUGAGGGACGAAAGCUGGGGGAGCAAACC
rnacentral:rRNA from 1 species